rnacentral:antisense_RNA from 1 species
CACCCAGUGGAACAGGCGCUUUGCGCUGGCCGGAAUUGGAACAGGGGCUGGUCACGUGUCCACAGGGGAAGCCGGGGGCCGAGUGUCGGGGGACGCUCGGCCCCUUUUUU